UACGAAGGGGGCUAGCGUUGCUCGGAAUUACUGGGCGUAAAGCGCACGUAGGCGGAUCGUUAAGUCGGGGGUGAAAUCCUGGAGCUCAACUCCAGAACUGCCUUCGAUACUGGCGAUCUCGAGUUCGGGAGAGGUGAGUGGAACUGCGAGUGUAGAGGUGAAAUUCGUAGAUAUUCGCAAGAACACCAGUGGCGAAGGCGGCUGUCUGGUCCGGUUCUGACGCUGAGGCGCGAAAGCGUGGGGAGCAAACAGG
rnacentral:rRNA from 1 species